GUUUUAAUAAUUUAAAAAAAAAUACUGGUCUUGUAAACCAGAAAUGAGAUUUUUUGCUCUUAAAACA
rnacentral:tRNA from 1 species